rnacentral:ncRNA from 1 species
UACGAUAAAGGCAAACCCUGAGUGAUCAGGGGGCGCAAAGUAAAGGAUCUUGUAACAGUGAAAAGUAUUCGUGAACAGUGUCAGUUAUACAUAACAGACACUUACACUUAUAAGUGACACGAUAGAAAUAAGACAGCCUUACUGCCGAAG